UUUAAAGUCUGAUCUGCCCAAUGAGGAGUUGAAUGGCCGCGGUAUUUUGACCGUGCAAAGGUAGCAUAAUCAUUAGUUUUUUAAUUGGAAGCUGGAAUGAAUGAUUGGACGAGAAAAUGGCUGUCUCAGUUUAAUAUAAUUAGAAUUUUAUAUUUAAGUUAAAAAGCUUAAAUAAAUUUAAAAGACGAGAAGACCCUAUAGAGUUUUAUAUUUAUAAUUAUAUUAUUAUUUGAGUUUAAUUUAUAAAUAAUAUAGAUAUAUUAAGUAUUUUAUUGGGGCGAUAGAAAAAUUAAAUUAACUUUUUAUAUUAUAGUACAUUAAUAUAUGGUUUUAUGAUCCAAAUUUAUUGAUUAAAAGAUUAAAUUACCUUAGGGAUAACAGCGUUAUUUUUUUUGAGAGUUCUUAUCGAAAAAAGAGUUUGCGACCUCGAUGUUGGAUUAAAAUUUAUUUUAGGUGUAGGAGCUUAAGAAUUAGGUCUGUUCGACCUUUAAAAUUUUACAUGAUCUGAGUUUAAACCGGUGUGAGCCAGGUUGGUUUCUAUCUUUAAAACAAUAAAAUAUUUUAGUACGAAAGGACCAAGUAUUUAUAAUAAUUAUUAUGAUUUGAAUAUUA
rnacentral:rRNA from 1 species